ACGACGUUGAUAGGUGGGGUGUGUAAGCGCUGUGAGGCGUUGAGCUAACCCAUACUAAUUGCCCGUGAGGCUUGACCAUAUAACACCCAAGCAAUU
rnacentral:rRNA from 1 species